CCUACGGGUGGCAGCAGUAGGGAAUAUUGCUCAAUGGGGGAAACCCUGAAGCAGCAACGCCGCGUGGAGGAUGAAGGUUUUAGGAUUGUAAACCCCUUUUGUUAGAGAAGAUUAUGACGGUAUCUAACGAAUAAGCACCGGCUAACUCCGUGCCAGCAGCCGCGGUAAUACGGCGGGUGCAAGCGUUAAUCGGAAUCACUGGGCGUAAAGAGUGCGUAGGCGGGGUAAUAAGUCAGAUGUGAAAUCCUGUAGCUUAACUACAGAACUGCAUUUGAAACUGUUACUCUGGAGUGUGGGAGAGGUAGGUGGAAUUCUUGGUGUAGGGGUAAAAUGCGUAGAGAUCAAGAGGAAUACUCAUUGCGAAGGCGACCUGCUGGAACGUUACUGACGCUGAUGCGCGAAAGCGUGGGGAGCAAACAGGAUUAGAUACCCUGGUAGUC
rnacentral:rRNA from 1 species